rnacentral:rRNA from 1 species
UACGAAGGGGGCUAGCGUUGUUCGGAAUUACUGGGCGUAAAGCGCGCGCAGGCGGUCCUUCAAGUCAGAGGUGAAAGCCCAGGGCUCAACCCUGGAACUGCCUUUGAAACUGGAGGACUUGAGUACGGGAGAGGUGAGUGGAAUUCCGAGUGUAGAGGUGAAAUUCGUAGAUAUUCGGAAGAACACCAGUGGCGAAGGCGACUCGCUGGACAAGUAUUGACGCUGAGGUGCGAAAGCGUGGGGAGCAAACAGG